GAGUUUGAUCCUGGCUCAGAAUCAACGCUGGCGGCGUGCCUAACACAUGCAAGUCGAACGCGAAAGUCCCGCAAGGGAUUAGUAGAGUGGCAAACGGGUGAGUAACGCGUGGGUGACCUGCCUUCGAGCGGGGGAUAACGUCCCGAAAGGGGCGCUAAUACCGCAUAACAUCCUGCCUUUGAACAGGUGGAGAUCAAAGCUGCGGAUCGCAAGACGUAGCACUCGAAGAGGGGCCCGCGUCCGAUUAGCUAGUUGGUGAGGUAACGGCUCACCAAGGCGACGAUCGGUAUCCGGCCUGAGAGGGCGGACGGACACACUGGGACUGAGACACGGCCCAGACUCCUACGGGAGGCAGCAGUGGGGAAUUGUUCACAAUGGGCGCAAGCCUGAUGGCGCAAUGCCGCGUGGAGGAUGAAGGUCUUCGGAUUGUAAACUCCUGUUGCCAGGGACGAAUGGCUCCGACCUAACACGUCGGAGAAUGACGGUACCUGGUGAGGAAGCCCCGGCUAACUCUGUGCCAGCAGCCGCGGUAAUACAGAGGGGGCGAGCGUUGUUCGGAAUUACUGGGCGUAAAGGGCGCGUAGGCGGCCUUCUAAGUCGAACGUGAAAUCCCCGGGCUCAACCCGGGAACUGCGUCCGAUACUGGGAGGCUUGAAUCCGGGAGAGGGAUGUGGAAUUCCAGGUGUAGCGGUGAAAUGCGUAGAUAUCUGGAGGAACACCGGUGGCGAAGGCGGCAUCCUGGACCGGUAUUGACGCUGAGGCGCGAAAGCCAGGGGAGCAAACGGGAUUAGAUACCCCGGUAGUCUACGCCGUAAACGAUGCGCACUAGGUUCGAAGGUCUCUGACGAUCCUCGGACCGAAACAAAAGCGUUAAGUGCGCCGCCUGGGGAGUACGGCCGCAAGGCUAAAACUCAAAGGAAUUGACGGGGGCUCACACAAGCGGUGGAGCAUGUGGAUCAAUUCGAAGCAACGCGAAGAACCUUACCUGGGUUUGACAUGCAUGGAUGCCCUCGACGAAAGUUGAGUAAGCUGCCUUUGGUGAAACAUGCACAGGUGCUGCAUGGCUGUCGUCAGCUCGUGCUGUGAAGUGUCGGGUUAAGUCCCUUAACGAGCGAAACCCUUAUCGCUAGUUGCCGGCGGGUCAUGCCGGGAACUCUAGUGAGACUGCCGGCGUCAAGCCGGAGGAAGGCGGGGACGACGUCAAGUCAUCAUGGCCUUUAUGCCCAGGGCGUCACACGUGCUACAAUGGGGUGGAACAGAGCGAUGCGAGACCGCAAGGUGGAGCAAAUCGCAGAAAACACCCCUCAGUUCGGAUUGAGGUCUGCAACCCGACCUCAUGAAGCUGGAAUUCAGCUAGUAAUUCGCGUAUCAGCCUAUGACGCGGGUGAAUAUGUUCCUGAGCAUUGUACACAC
rnacentral:rRNA from 1 species